rnacentral:rRNA from 1 species
AUUGAACGCUGGCGGCAUGCUUUACACAUGCAAGUCGGACGAGUGGCGAACGGGUGAGUAAUGCAUCGGAACGUACCGAGUAAAGGGGGAUAACUGCCGGACAGGAUAGCUAAUACCGCAUACUAUUCGAGCGGCCGAUGUCUGAUUAGCUGGUUGGCGGGGUAAAGGCCCACCAAGGCGACGAUCCGUAGCGGGUCUGAGAGGAUGAUCAGCCACACUGGGACUGAGACACGGCCCAGACUCCUACGGGAGGCAGCAGUGGGGAAUUUUGGAUAAUGGGCGCAAGCCUGAUCCAGCCAUGCCGCGUGUCUGAAGAAGGCCUUCGGGUUGUAAAGGACUUUUGUCAGGGAAGCGGUACCUGAAGAAUAAGCACCGGCUAACUACGUGCCAGCAGCCGCGGUAAUUC